rnacentral:rRNA from 1 species
CAGAGGGUGCGAGCGUUAAUCGAAGUUACUGGGCGUAAAGGGCGCGUAGGCGGUUGUGUGAGUGUGAUGUGAAAGCCCUGGGCUUAACCUAGGAAGUGCAUCGCAAACGACACGACUGGAGUAUAAGAGAGGGUGGCGGAAUUUCCGGUGUAGCGGUGAAAUGCGUAGAGAUCGGAAGGAACGUCAAUGGCGAAGGCAGCCACCUGGCUUAAUACUGACGCUGAGGCGCGAAAGCGUGGGGAGCGAACAGGAUUAGAUACCCUGGUAGUCCACGCUGUAAACGAUGAGAACUAGAUGUUGAUUGGGGAACCAAGCAGUAUCGAAGCUAACGCGAUAAGUUCUCCGCCUGGGAAGUACGGCCGCAAGGUUG